rnacentral:rRNA from 1 species
UACGUAGGGCGCAAGCGUUGUCCGGAAUUAUUGGGCGUAAAGAGCUCGUAGGCGGCCUGUUACGUCUGCUGUGAAAUCCCGGGGCUUAACCCCGGGCGUGCAGUGGAUACGGGCAGGCUGGAGGCAGGCAGGGGAGAACGGAAUUCCCGGUGGUAGCGGGUGGAAAUGCGCAGAUAUCGGGAAGGAACACCGGUGGCGAAGGCGGUUCUCUGG